rnacentral:hammerhead_ribozyme from 1 species
AUCCAACUGACGAGUCCGAAAUAGGUCGAAAUUUGCAUCUUGGAU